UCAAAGGGCUGGCAUCUGGUGUUUGGCGAGGACUUUCUUGCUUCAUCCUCUGAAGGAAGAAACACUAUGACCUCACAUGGCAGAAGAGUGAAAGAAUAAAAGGGAUAAGCUCUUUCAGACGGGCCCCUUUAUAUAUAAACAGCAUUAAUUCAUUCCCAAAGGCAGAGCCCUUAUGACGUAAACAUCUCCCAAAAGCUCCACCUCCCAGCACUAUUGCAUUGGAUAUUACAUUUCUAACACAAGAAUCCUGGGGGACACAUUCAGGCCAUAACAACGAGGUGAAAACAUCUGUAAGACCCAAAACACCCAGGAAGGACGUUUGUAAGGUGACUAAGCCUGAGCUCCGCCUGUCUCUUUGGAAGCAGCCAAGUCCUAGACUGGCUUAUUUCCAAGGAGAUGCCACUGUUGUAUAAGAAGAAAUUUGAUUGAGGCCUUUUUCCCUGGUUCCUGGUAAGGAGAUGCUAAAACCCUUGGAAUUUCUCCAGUGAUAGGAGUGUCUUUGUUAUCAUGAGACCCUUGGAUCGCACCUGAGUUUUUUCUAAUGAGCCCCAGUAAAACCUCUGGACCCUGAGAGUCAGUGGAGUGUCCUGGUUGAUGAAGAUAUUGAUCUGCCCACAGGGAGAAAGACCCUGGCUCCAUAAGGAGAGGGCAUGGAAGCUCUGGGUUCAAGGCCCUCCCAGACCUCACCGUAUGCAUCUCCUCAUUUGGC